AGCUGCUGAGGAUCACGGGGAUGAAAGGCGUGAACUGGGCUCACACAGCUAAUGCAUUAGGACACCAGAAAAGGAAGAAAAGACAGUGGCAGCUGAAGACAUUUCAGGAAUGCUUCACUGAGAACCUAAGUCUUGUUCUGGGCCAUAAAGAAAAAGGGAGGGUAUGGUUUCUAUACCAGAGAUAAGAAAGGAGAAAAUUGGACGUGGAGGAAAGAUACGAGUACCAAUCCGAGCGAACAAGGAAGAGUGAGUAAAUCUGUCCAGCUGGAGUUGGAGUGAAAAAGGUGCCUGCUUCUCCUUCUGCCAUGAUUAUGUUUCCUGAGGCUUCCCCAGCCAUGCGUAACUCUCCUUGGCAUUUAUGAGAGAGCCACAUGACAUCAGCCCAUAGACUGUGGAGAGUGUUCCAGAUCUAUCACAUUUCUGCGAUUCCCAGAAGGAUGGUCAUGAAAAAAUUCCCUCUUCAGUUUACAUAUA